UCGAUAAGCGUUUCAACGAAG
ensembl:piRNA 21ur-2416 ncRNA